CCGACCUUAGCUCAGUUGGUAGAGCGGAGGACUGUAGUCUCGUUGCAGAAUAAUCCUUAGGUCGCUGGUUCGAAUCCGGCAGGUCGGA
rnacentral:tRNA from 2 species